ACAAACAUUCGCAUAAGUGUGAAUUGCCACAAGUGGGAGCUGGUAUAAGCGUGAAGCAAUCGCAAAAACUGGCAAAAACGCAAACAACAUAAAUGCGAAAUUUAGCAUGAGUGCAAACUGGCAUAACUGCAAACUAGCAUAAGGGCGAAAUGCCAAUUAGCACUUAGGCCAAUGUUUGCAAAUUUAUUACAUGCACUUAUGUCAGUUCGCACUUCUGCCAGCUUUUGUAACUGUUUUGUACUUAAUCAAAUUUUGCACUAAUGCCUAUUCGUAAUGUUUGCAAACCUGUUUGGGGCACUAAUGCUAAUUUACACUUUUUCCAGUUUGCAAGUUUAAAGCUAUAGAUUAUCCUAUAGCUUUAAACUUUAGUCUAGAUAAUUCUUUUAACCCAGACAAUAUUUAUAUAUAUGACUACACUAAUGGUUAGAGUACACUAAUGAUCUGGACUACAUUAAUGUUUUAUGACAAAUUCACUCACGGCCAAAUUUAAUAUGGCAGCUGGAAAAGGCAAAGGAUCUUUUUAGUAUAACCAAGCUAUACAACUUAAUAAAAGUUUUAUGACAAGUUCACUCAUGGCCAAAUUUAAUAUGGCAGUUGGAAAAGACAAAAGAAUUUUUUUAGUCUAACCAAGCUAUACAACUUAAUAAAAGGGACCAAUUAAUCAUUCCAGGGUCUUGGGCGAGUUAGUCUAAUCGUUUUGCCAAGGCUUCAGAUCUUGCAAGCUACAUGGGGAAAAACCAUUAAGUUCAUCUGGCAGCAAGGAAAGUUAGAAAAUGCCUGCAGCAUACUGGUUUGAAUGGGAGAAUUGCUGCAAAGAAACCUUUAUUGCGACCUUAUAAAAUUGCGAAAAGAAGAGCAUUCGCGAAGAUGUAAAAAACCUGGACUGUCAAUGGAAUAAAGUGUUAUAGAAUGAUGAAAGUACCUUUACUGUUUUCUGUGGAGCUAAAAGAGCUUAUAUGAGGAGAAGAGUUGGUAAAUGAUUUAGUCCUCUGUGUGUAGCUCACACAGUAAAACAUAAAGGAGUCUCUCAUAUGGUAUGGGGUUGCAUGUCAGGAUCAGUUUGUGCAUCGACUGCUCACGAAUCAUACACAGAGUCGAUUGUCGAUGCAAUAAAUACUGAAUGGUUAAAGCGGGCAACUUUUUGCUCGUGUUAAAGUGCCUUUAAUCCAACAGAAAAGUAAAUUGCUGAUUUAAUACAGUAUUAUUGUGCUAAUUGGUCAUAUGGUUCAUUGUUAUCAAAGUUACACAUGUUAGAAGAUCAUGCUUUUUGAUUUU